AGAAGACGGCACCAAAGCGGUUCCAUGCUGCCUACCUUCAUUUCAGAUCACACCCACUCAAAAAAAACAAAAACACAAUAUGUUUUUGCAGUAACUAAAAAUUAUACUCCGUGGUUCAACAGCGACGCACUGGAAUUGCCAUGGCAACAAACAGCUCCGACUUCCGCUUGGGUGGACAACGGACUCAUUUCAUUGGAUAAAAUUCCGCAGAUUUAAUUGCUUCCAACUUUUUAAUUAGCAAUUUUCCGGGAAAAUAAAUGUAGUUUUCUUCAUCAGCGAGUAAGACUACACCAAAAGUACGUUUUCUGAAUAUUUUCAGGCUAAAAUUUGACAACAUAUGAAGAAAUUAAAAGAUCCGCUCUGAAUAAUAAAUAAUUAUCUUUGAGAACCAUCGCACCAUUCUCUGCAGGUUCUCUCUUGCUGCUGCUAAGGUAUAUUCAACCGUGUCCGUUUUCUUCAACUGAGCAACCAGGGAAUUAAGGGCGACUAUAUAUCUUCCCUCGGUAUCUCUUCAGCCCUGCGCUGUUUAACAUUGUCCCGAAAGAGAUCAAAGAGGAAAA